AGUUUGGCUUGUUGUUAUGAAAAGUGUUUGUUUUUGCGAGUUUGAACGUUUUUGAGCAUGUGUAAUGGCAUGAAUGCGUUAAGCUGUUGUUUUAGUGUUCUUUUGAUGAGUUUGGCUUGUUGUUAUGAAAAGUGUUUGUUUUGGCGAGUUUGAACGUUUUUGUGCAUGUGUAAUGGCAUGAAUCCGUUAAGCUGUUGUUUUGGUGUUCUUUUGAUGAGUUUGGCUUGUUGUUGUGAAAAGUGUUUGUUUUGAUGAGUUUGAACGUUUUUGAGCAUGUGUAAUGGCAUGAAUGCGUUAAGCUGUUGUUUUAGUGUUCUUGUGAUGAGUUUGGCUUGUUGUUAUGAACAUUGUUCGUUUUGGCGAGUUUGAACGUUUUUGAGCAUGUGUAAUGGCAUGAAUGCGUUAAGCUGUUUAUUUAGUGUUCUUUUGAUGAGUGUGGCUUGUUGUUAUGAAAAGUGUU